rnacentral:lncRNA from 1 species
CUUUUUGUUGCUAUUGUGAAUGGAACCUGUUUUUUUCCCUCCUUAUCAUACUUUCUGUUUUCAAAAUAAUUGGUUUAUUGACUUUUUUUUUUUUUAACAUAUUGACCUUGCAUCAUUGGUUCUAAUAGUUUUCAGCUGAUUUUCUUGGAUUUUCUAGGUAACUGACCAUGUUAUCUGGAAACAGAAACCACUGAGUCUCUUCAUUUCUGUUUUGUCUGGGCUCUUUCAGUUCCAGAGGAAAUUCUCAAAGGGAGAGACAACACAGAAGCACUUUAAGUUUCAACCCCAUGAAAAGAGGACAGAGGGAGUAUGCUGGAUCUUCAGUUUUGGAGCCUAUGUUCUCAAGAGAAUUCUAAAUAUUGGUGGUCAUUUUGUUGAAUAUUCAGCAGAGGGGUGGAUGGCUGAGAGAACACAAUCCCAAACAUUUGCACAAUAUAUUUGAACUAGGUCAAA